GUCUCUAGUUUAUAGUUUCCUAAAAGAGCGUUAUGCAUACUCUAUCCCAAUAGGACUCUUACUUGCUACGAACAUGUGAUGGAGAAAUCACUUCAAACAGCGACUGGAGGGUCAUAAACUCUCUGUGCUGCUGCAAUAUUAUUGAAAGAAGCGGUUUUCCCUGCUCAUGUCAUCUCCUGUGCACUUUGAUCUGGGUGAAGUGGCCUGCAGUUGUACAGCAAGGACCAACGAGCACUGGAUCCUCUAUCUGUAGUGAGUGG
rnacentral:lncRNA from 1 species